GCGGCGGACGGGUGAGUAACGCGUAGGAAUCUACCUAUUGGUGGGGGAUAGCCCAGGGAAACUUGGAUUAAUACCGCAUAAGCUCUUAGGAGGAAAGCGGGGGAUCUUCGGACCUCGUGCCAAUAGAUGAGCCUGCGUAAGAUUAGCUAGAUGGUGGGGUAAUGGCCUACCAUGGCGACGAUCUUUAGCUGGUCUGAGAGGAUGAUCAGCCACACUGGGACUGAGACACGGCCCAGACUCCUACGGGAGGCAGCAGUGGGGAAUAUUGCACAAUGGGCGCAAGCCUGAUGCAGCCAUGCCGCGUGUGUGAAGAAGGCCUUAGGGUUGUAAAGCACUUUCAGUGGGGAGGAAAGGUUAUAAGUUAAUACCUUAUAGCUGUGACGUUACCCACAGAAGAAGGACCGGCUAAUUCCGUGCCAGCAGCCGCGGUAAUACGGAAGGUCCGUGCGUUAAUCGGAAUUACUGGGCGUAAAGCGCACGUAGGCGGCUAGGUCAGUUGGGUGUGAAAGCCCCGGGCUCAACCUGGGAACUGCAUCCAAUACUGCCUGGCUAGAGUACGAGAGAGGGGGGUAGAAUUUCUAGUGUAGCG
rnacentral:rRNA from 1 species